UUAUGUAUAUAUAUGUAAUAUUUUUUGUAUAUAUAUUUCUGGUCUAGCUAAUGUAUAUAAAUACAUAAUUAAUCAAUGCCGUUCUCGAUCUAUACUUAGCAGCGCUGGCCGGAGAGAUCAGGAAAGAAGAUCGACGUGGGAUGUUGGAGGCCCCCGCGCUCGAUCUGGCCGUGGCCCGCGGCGGCGGCGUUGGAGGAGGGGCACGGCGGCGCU
rnacentral:lncRNA from 1 species